rnacentral:rRNA from 1 species
GAUGAACGCUGGCGGCGUGCCUAAUACAUGCAAGUCGAGCGAACAGACGAGGAGCUUGCUCCUCUGACGUUAGCGGCGGACGGGUGAGUAACACGUGGAUAACCUACCUAUAAGACUGGGAUAACUUCGGGAAACCGGAGCUAAUACCGGAUAAUAUAUUGAACCGCAUGGUUCAAUAGUGAAAGACGGUUUUGCUGUCACUUAUAGAUGGAUCCGCGCCGCAUUAGCUAGUUGGUAAGGUAACGGCUUACCAAGGCAACGAUGCGUAGCCGACCUGAGAGGGUGAUCGGCCACACUGGAACUGAGACAAGGUCCAGACUCAUACGGGAGGCAGCAGUAGGGAAUCUUCCGCAAUGGGCGAAAGCCUGACGGAGCAAAGCCGCGUGAGUGAUGAAGGUCUUCGGAUCGUAAAACUCUGUUAUUAGGGAAGAACAAAUGUGUAAGUAACUAUGCACGUCUUGACGGUACCUAAUCAGAAAGCCACGGCUAACUACGUG